rnacentral:tRNA from 1 species
GGAGAGCUGUCCGAGUGGCCGAAGGAGCUUGAUUCGAAAUCAAGUAAAUCGCAAGGUUUCAAGGGUUCGAAUCCCUUGCUCUCCUCCA